rnacentral:rRNA from 1 species
AGUGAACGCUGGCGGCAGGCCUAAUACAUGCAAGUCGAACGGCAGCACAGCAGAGCUUGCUCUGUGGGUGGCGAGUGGCGGACGGGUGAGGAAUACAUGGGAAUCUGCCCAGUCGUGGGGGAUAACGUAUGGAAACGUACGCUAAUACCGCAUGCGCCCUACGGGGGAAAGUCGGGGACCGCAAGGCCUGACGCGAUUGGAUGAGCCCAUGUUCGAUUAGCUAGUUGGCGGGGUAAAGGCCCACCAAGGCGACGAUCGAUAGCUGGUCUGAGAGGAUGAUCAGCCACACUGGAACUGAGACACGGUCCAGACUCCUACGGGAGGCAGCAGUAGGGAAUAUUGGACAAUGGGGGCAACCCUGAUCCAGCCAUGCCGCGUGAGUGAAGAAGGCCCUCGGGUUGUAAACCUCUUUCAGUAGGGACGAAGCGUAAGUGACGGUACCUAUAGAGAAGCACCGGCCAACUACGUGCCAGCAGCCGCGGUAA